AUGAGCCAUGAGCAAGAAGUAUUCCAAGGAAAGAGUGAUGAAGGGGUUGAUGUUAUUGGGAGCUCAAAGUUAGAACAUGCAUAUAAUCAAAUGGGCAAGGGUAAUGAAGAAUUUCAAGAACACAACAACAAAGAGACAAUAAACACACAAGAAGAAAUUCAAGAUCAAGUGAACACAAGCAAAUAUGAUACAGAGGCAGUGAAAGCACCCCAAGAAGUCAGCAUCGAAGAUGGACUAGGAAGAGAAAACAAGGUUACAGUGCAGGACAAGGUGCUAGAAGCGAAGAUCAAUGAAACAAGAGCAGCGAGCACGACAAGUUUUGAGUACUUACUUCUACCAGACAACACUGCUUUGUUACCUCAGAUUCAGAGCAAAGAAGCUGGGAAAGGAAAUGCAUCAAGUUUUUCCGGUUUCAUGAGCCAGAAGACAUCCAGUAAUGAACAUAUCUCCCAACAAAAAGACGACACCAACGUGAUCAACCAGCAACAGAAGGGGUCCUGCAGCAAAAUAGAUUUCGACAUAAAUGUCACAUUAGCUGCAGAUGAGGAUGACGCAAAUGACCAUGAAGCAAACAAGCAUGUCAUAGAUAAUCCUAUAGGAAACGAAGACGAAUCCUGGGCUGAUUACUUGGAUAAAGCAAGGCAAAAGUACUUCUUCUAUGAUGAUGACACGCCAACUUGUCAUAUACUCGAAGAUAUGGAUGACUGCGGGAAUGAAAUAACUGAGCCUGAGCUAUGGCGUCCUGUGCACAUGACAACAAAGGAAUAUAACAAAAAAAUUGAGAAUGCAAAGAAAAUCAUUGUUCACCAGACAUUGAAAGAAAAGGAAUCAGGCAACUACCAUCAAGAGCAAGAGAUCAAGAGCUGCGAGUUUUCUGUACAUUGCGCGCAACAGCAACAAAGUGUUGGACAAAGAUGCACUUCACCAGACGGAGGAAUAAUUGACCUGACAUCACCAAACACAAGCAUUCGAAAUGAGUGGAACGAGCCGCAUACAUGCUAUUCUCCUAGGAAUAGGAACACAACUUACAAGACAAUGACUACCAGACCCCCACGCACCAAACAUUUUUUCUCAGAAGCCACAAUGACAGGGAGAAUUAUGUUCCCAGAAAGAGCUAACAUUGAAUGCAAUUUUGAUGGGACAGAGGAUAACCCUAUAACGUUCUUGGAUCAUAACAGUGCAUCACCAGAGGUCCAAAUCCUCAGUCAAAGUCCUUUCAAACAGUCUUGCAGUAACUUAGUUGAUAGAUCAGAUGAGCACUAUAACACCAGACUCUUCUUAGGGAGUACAAGCAGCUCUAGGGGCAAAGAAAAUAUACCACCUAAAAGGGUAGUACAACCAAGCAAAUUUUUGUGCUCGCCUUAUGACCAAGACAGGGGGCCCAUCAUGGAAUACGAACUUCAUCUAUAUCACAACAUCUUACUCCUAAGCGAGAAUAAUUACUACAAAGGGGACUACUGGGCAAUUGAGAUUGAUAAAUGCAGGGUAUCAUUGGAACAACUAGGCAAUUCAUUCAAACCAUCAGGGAGUACUUUUUGGAGAAGUGGAGGACUGAAGUGGGGAGACUAUCUUUCAAAGAUAAAGUUCUAA
rnacentral:rRNA from 1 species